rnacentral:rRNA from 1 species
AUGUAUCUCGACUUCCUAAAGGACUGGGAUGCGGGGUACAGCUGGGGGGCCGCCGGACUCGCCUACCUAUAUCGUUCGCUUGACGACGCGACCCGGAGAGCGGAAGUCACGUCUGGUAUGUGUGGAUGUGUAUGGGGCCUCUCCAUUUGGAUGUGGGAGCGAAUCCCGGUGGGCCGUCCAGAGAAGUUGCGCUCGCGUGCAUGGACGGACUAUGGCGGAGAUGGCGAAGAUGAUCGGAACCCGACCGUCGCAUACGCUUGGGACGUGGUGCAUGUCUACACGGGCGAAUCGAAGGCCUUGUACAAGGUCUUCAGCAACGAGCUUGAUGCUCUCACGCCUUUCCAGGUUACUUGGCGGUCGUAUAGUGAUGAUUGA